rnacentral:lncRNA from 1 species
GUCAUUCUCCAAACUUUUGGCCACGACUGUAUGUCGAAAUUGUCAUGACAGACUUGACACUGCAGUUUAUGAAGUGAUGAAGGGCUAUACUUUUACCUGGCUGUCCUGUUCGACCACAAGAGCAAGAUGCAGGUGAUGAGAACGUCUUCAAACUGUGGGGAAAAGCACCUAAAACUCAGAAGGAUUUCAAUUAAAUCAAACCGAGAGUCAACAUAUUGACAGACCCUUCUUACUCUGAGCUACUUGAGAAAGUUAACUUGAUUUUGGGCCUCUUUUUCUAAGGCUUUAUCAUCAUAGUGUUUAUCUAUGACUUUGUCCGAGUCUCCAAGGAGGCCAGUAGGAGAUCUGAUGCUCUAGCUGCUGCCAAACUGAAGAGAAAACAACCACCCACUGUUGAACCAGUCAACUUGAUCCAAAUGUACCCUCUAUGAUACCUUACUCUGAGUGGCGUUCACUUGCUUGAAUAUGUGAUCCCUGGCUAAGUUAAGUGUAGGCUAUACUGACUGCAGGGUCUUACAUUCUGUUGUAACAAUGGCCCGCUUUAGAGCGGGAGCGCAUCGCUGCAUAGUUUCGUUUGAAAAAUACAUCAUCCACGGCUAAUGAUUUGGAGGCGAAUUUUCCCAAGGUGAUGUUCUUUCUUUUGUAGACGUCACACAAUUAGUUGUUUGUGAGAUGCAAUAACAAUAGUAACAAAUAUAUAAUCUAGAUGAGAUAUAAAAUAAGCUGUACAUCUUUUAAACUGUCUAUGUAUUCGUCUGCUUGUUCUGUAGAACGAAUCUGAGUCCACUGUACAAUUUGCAGACUCUACAAAACCAGAGUGCUGUCAGCCUUAGAGAGUGAGAACCUCUGCCUGAGUCUCAGCUGACUGAUGCUUGCAUCAACUACCACGUCUUUUACCCAGUGAUAUUUAAUGGAAGGAACAGAAAUCAAAUCUCCAAAUAAGAUCAUGUUGAGACUGCCACCUUUGAAGACUGCCACUUUCUGUCUCGUCACUAAUCCCCAUAACAAUGACUGUUUAACAGUUUAAUGCAACCCUCAGGUUUCAACCCUUUAGGAUAGACCAGUGAGGAGACAAUACUUCCAGGCAUAAUGUACAUGAUUUUAAAAAGCCCCAGGCAUCGAAGCAUCUUUCAAAGCCUGCUCUCUGUCAUCUUUUAGUUUGACCCUCCUAUUGAGACACUCAUCCCUUUUGGCAUAGCUUUUGAAUGAGCUUUAGUUUAUUACGGUGUCUGUGACUUUCCUAUGAUGAAGCACUGCAGAACAACACAAAUCAACGUUUAUUGGUGCGUCCACAGUUCUGCACGUUAUCGCAGGUGCAGCGAGAUGCUUAUGUUUCGAGCUCCAACAAUGCAGCAAUAUCUAGCGGAAUCAAAUAGUUAAACAUUGUAGUUUGCCUGGUUCUCUUUUAUCAAUGAACAUUCUUCCAGAAGAGCAUAGUUCUUGGAAAGGAUUUACCUCAUCAGCCUCAGGUUGUUGUCUCAGAUAGAGAAUGUCUUGUAUAGGAGGAAAACACAGACUACAGACAGUGGUAGGGAUGGAAGUGAGAGAUGCUGCCAUCUUCUGGAGAAGAAUAUAAAGCUUUUUGGCAGCCAAGGUAUUUGACUUGUUCAUCAAGAAUCCUUAUGUAGAAACUGGUGAGAUUAGAACGUAUUGUGGGAUCAUGUACAGUUGUUGGAUACAUACAGCUUUUAGAAAAUCUGUUUUAGGAGAGAGGAUGAAAAAUAGUCCACAUUUAAAGGCUGAAAU